GUGCUUGCCUCAGCAGCACAUAUACUAAAAUUGGAAAAAAAACAGAGUAGAUUAGCAUGGCCCCUGUGCAAGGAUGACAUGCAAAUUCAUGAAGCAUUCUAUAAUUUU
ensembl:snRNA U6 U6 spliceosomal RNA